UACAACUUUCAACAACGGAUCUCUUGGCUCUCGCAUCGAUGAAGAACGCAGCGAAAUGCGAUAAGUAAUGUGAAUUGCAGAAUUCAGUGAAUCAUCGA
rnacentral:rRNA from 1 species